GCGCCGGUGGUGUAAUGGCGUAGAGCAUUCCCACCCGGUCAGAGGGAGGUGCGGGUUCGAGUCCCGCCUGGCGCU
rfam:Heligmosomoides polygyrus genome assembly, scaffold: HPBE_contig0000198